UCCUCCCUCUCUCCCCCUCCCGCUCUUUUCUCCCUCUCCCUCCAAGUCUGGCACUGAACGAACUGUUUUGCUUUGCUCCGGGAAGAGUGCAGACACAUAACGUGAAAUCCCGAGCUUUUUGCGUGGUGCAUUUGAGAUGCUUCCUUAUUUAUAUUACCCUCAUUCCCUCACCUCUCCCACCCGCUCAGCAGUCCUUCCAAAUUUCCCUAGAAAUCUGUGUAAAGCAUGCGGAGGGGAAAACAUUUGCACAAAAAGUGAAGGAGCUCGCCAAGGAGUUCCCGUCUAGGUGGUCAACUUGUCCUACACCCAGAGGUCUGCCGAAGGGGUGGCCAUGCCCAGAGGUCACAGAAGCCUGGACCAAUGAGCUCAGCAGUCCCAGAAAAAUUAAAAGAUCCUUGGUGGGUCUGAAAAUGGUGCUGGUGGGAGUGACGGUCUUCAUGGAAAGAAUGAAGUUAUCAUAAUCAGUGAA